rnacentral:lncRNA from 1 species
CAAAUUGCCAUCAGGUGGAGCCUUGAACAUAACGAGCCUCUCGUCCUAUUUGAAACCCUCAACCGAUGCACCACAUUUCCUGAUGGACGUUAUCCAGAGCAGCAGAACGUCACUUGUACUGAUUCUCGAUUUAACGCCACGCAAGGACCUCAUCUUAAAUCUCGACUACCUUAAAACUUACUAUGAAGACACUCAGUUGGACACGUACAGACAACGCCUUCAGAGGCUACCUGAGGUAAGACCUUAUUUCUCGCCAUCUUUAUAUAUCCGCUCUGUUCUUUCUCCUACAGCUAUACUAGUUAGCAUCGACACUGGAGAUGGUGAAAAAAGUGUUGAGGAAAUGAUUCAAGAACAUAUCAAUCCUAUUGCCAAGGAGAUAGUGCAAUUCUGGUUGGAUAAGUGUGCUUCUGUGGAGAAACAAGUGGGAGAAACUGAGAGGGCUUAUUUGGUAAAGAGGGAUCAAAUAAUUAAGAGUAAGACCAUUGAGGUUGAUCUAGCUUCGAGCUUUCCAAGACCUGAUGCACAGUAUUUUGAAAAUCCAAAUGGUAGUGCACAUGCUUCUCUCCACCUCAGAUCUGGUGUUUCCUCCUCACAGGUAACGUAUCCUUUUUUUUUCCUUCAUGUUUUGUAGUUGGUCCAGCAAUGGAUAUGGAGUUUAUAUCGGAAAAUAUAUUGUAGAUAAAUAAUGGUUCCUGUAGCUAAGAUUUUCAACAGUGCUGAGUUAAUUUAAUCAAUGGUCACUGCACUUUGCUAAAGGUUGCUCACCGAAAUUUGAACAAAUUUAUAAGGUUACUAAUGAUUAUCUUGUUAUUUUCCCCACAGUGGCUGAAUUUGUCGAAUUUGACAGGAUAGUUGAUACGCAUACGCAUACGCAUACGCAUACGCAUACGCAUCUGAAAAGAUAUUGCCCUCUUACAUGGAAUUACAAAUUAUGACUUAUAGAAUUGGAUUACUUGAGUUCAAGUUUGAAGCAAUGGUUGAGAAAGUUUUGAUCCUGAGCAGAAAUGGUUUAUAGCAUAAAUCAUUGUUCCUAAAUGAGAAAAUAAUCCGUUGUGCUUGUGUAUCCGCAAUAUUUCUAAAUAGUCAUGCUUAAAAUAUCUCAAAUAAUACCAAAUUGACACUAAAAGUAGCAAGUAAAAUGGUAAGGAUUAUGUGAGUUAUGUGGAAAGUUUAAGCAUAUGCCCCUGUCAAGACCUGUGUCUUAGGUGUUGAUCUUCAAGAAAAAAGUCUGCCAUUCUUCUCUUUGCAGUUUUGUGGUUUUGAGAAAACAAAUGAAUACAUAAUGUAUGGAAAUGAGAAAUGCACUGUCUGCACAGCCUCACCACUAAAGUGACUUCAGCCAGGCAAUCCUUCUUUCUUCUCAAGCACUCAUCGAGUCUCACAAACUCUUGACAUAGAAGCAGAUGGGGUUUUGAUCUCGAUCCUUUAUUUUAUGCAAGAAAACAAAAAUAUCUAAUCUAGUUGAUGACAAAAUAGAUCUUUUAGUAUGAGAUUGCAGGUGGUCCUUCACCUGACUUACUAGCUUAUUCCAUAUACCGACGGCUACGAAAACAUGGACUAAGCCCUUUCUGAAAGCGUACGGUACACGAUCAAUUAGUUACCAGAGAUAAGCUCACACAUGGCUGAGGUCAGUGCAUGGCAAGCUAUGUUCUAGACUUUCCCUAGAAGAUCCAUAUUACUAAAUUGUGUGUAUUAUACACUGAAUCCAAAAGAAACAUAGAUGAAAUCAUAGGAUCUAAAAUUACAUCAUAAAUCCUAAAUCACAACAUCAAGGCUUAGAUCUUUCAAUCGAAGGCUCAGACCACACCCAUAAACCAUCACAGAGGCACCGAGACUCAAAACGAACCCUCACAACCCAAACACACCAAGGUCACUUCAUUGGACUCAAGAAAUCAAACUGCCUACCUUCGGUCGAUCACUCACACAAAGGAGAAUCACACAAGAACACGAUUAUCACAAAGAUAAUCAACCAGAAAUCUCACAAAGAGAAGAAGGAAGGGUCACACAGACGAGAGGACUCGAAGGUUCCACACGGCAGAGAGAAAGAGAAAAACAGAAAAUGACGAUCCACCAGCCAAACAAGGGAGUAAGGAUAUUAUUUAUAGUAAGUAUCAUCAACCGUUGAUCAGCGGGUCAAUCCAACGGUCCAAGAGCGACUAAUGGUGUGGGCUGAAUAUUGGGCUCGGUUAAGUGGGCCUUCUAGGUAUAUAUUUAAUGGACCAAGUAAUAAAUCCAAUUUGGGCCUUUUCAUCAUUGCCUAACAGUUGGACUGGAUCAAAUGGCAUCACAGCCCAACAGUGUGAAUCCUCUCUCAAGAGAGCUUCAGAAAGAGCCUUUGUCUAGCCUCGCUUUAAAUUUACAGGCAAAGGCUAAACUAAUCAACCUGUAGCUUGAUGCUCUGUGAGCUUUCUCUCUUCUAAUUAACUUGAAUUUAUUGUUUAGUCAUUAGUGGUGUGGGUUGACUGACUCGUCUGCUCUAUGACCUGGUGCUCAGCCUAUGCAAAAGCUGAAGUUUGGUUAAUGAUGAGUAAGGAAAAUUGAGCCAUUUUCUCCAAACUUGGUUAAAGGAAUUCAUCAUUUCUUCCAAUCCACUGACAUAUUGCCGGUUCAUUCGUUAGGUUGCCACAUAUGUUGAACCUCCAAAAAUUCUCAUGGGAUAGUCUAAAUAAAACGCUUCCUGUCUCUGUACCAGAGAAAAACAGAAAAUGACGAUCCACCAGCCAAACAAGGGAGUAAGGAUAUUAUUUAUAGUAAGUAUCAUCAACUGUUGAUCAGCGGGUCAAUCCAACGGUCCAAGAGCGACUAAUGGUGUGGGCUGAAUAUUGGGCUCGGUUAAGUGGGCCUUCUAGGUAUAUAUUUAAUGGACCACCAUUUCUUCCAAUCCACUGACAUAUUGCCGGGUCAUUCGUUAGGUUGCCACAUAUGUUGAACCUCCAAAAAUUCUCAUGGGAUAGUCUAAAUAAAACGCUUCCUGUCUCUGUACCAUUUUUUAACUCCGAUUUCCAUUUUUAUUAACCGUUUUACAUCAAGAACAUUUUCUGAUAAAUGACGUAUUUUCUUGAUAUGGUCCACCCUAUUAACGAAAAAGAAAAGAAAAUGUAGCCAUCGCCCAAACGCAAAUGAUGAGGUGAUUGGAAAGCUCAGCAAUCACACCAGUGAACAAUUGAUGUGGCCAUAUUACCUAAUGACACAUAUUUAAACACAUUAUGCUUGUAUACUGUUUGUUUGAUUCCUUCUAUGCAAAAUUAGAUACUGGAUGCCCAAUUUUUUUAUUCGGGACAAACAAUUAAGUAAACUGAGUUUUGCCUCCUCAAAAAUGAUAUGCACGCACACUCUUAACCUCGUAGGAAGACCACGUCUAAUACUCCUUAAACUAUCCAAAAUAAGUGUCGUAAUUCUAUACAUAUCCUACACUUCUCCAACAAAGUGUGACGUUUCUGUUAUCUGUGUAUUUUUUAUGACUAAGGGUGAUUAUUGUGUAUUGGAGGUAUAUUUAAGGGCUGAAGGGGUACCUGUUCAUGCUUAUAACCCCCCAAAUAUACCUCCGUUGUUAUGUAGUAAAAGUAUGGGACCCAAUUGCCUAGCAUCAAGUGCUCUAUAUCAAAUCCUAAUUGGGUGUUUCCAAAUUAUUGGCUCCUGUUAAGUUUUUCCUAUUACAUUGGAUCAAUUGGUGGAGAGUUUCUUCUAAUUAGAUAUCACCAGAGCCUUUAUUUAAUCACACUUGUAGUGCCAGUGAUUUCUUGUCUCUGUCGACUUUUUCAUCUUCUUGUCUGUUGAAGUUUGUUUUCAAAAGUUUCCUGGUUGUAGGAUUUUAACUUUUCCGGAAAGUAAGCAUUAAUAUUUAAAUCUUCUCUGAAUGUACCAGAUUGAUUUCAUAUUGGGGGGUUGGAUUCACUGCAAAUUGCCAUCAGGUGGAGCCUUGAACAUAACGAGCCUCUCGUCCUAUUUGAAACCCUCAACCGAUGCACCACAUUUCCUGAUGGACGUUAUCCAGAGCAGCAGAACGUCACUUGUACUGAUUCUCGAUUUAACGCCACGCAAGGACCUCAUCUUAAAUCUCGACUACCUUAAAACUUACUAUGAAGACACUCAGUUGGACACGUACAGACAACGCCUUCAGAGGCUACCUGAGGUAAGACCUUAUUUCUCGCCAUCUUUAUAUAUCCGCUCUGUUCUUUCUCCUACAGCUAUACUAGUUAGCAUCGACACUGGAGAUGGUGAAAAAAGUGUUGAGGAAAUGAUUCAAGAACAUAUCAAUCCUAUUGCCAAGGAGAUAGUGCAAUUCUGGUUGGAUAAGUGUGCUUCUGUGGAGAAACAAGUGGGAGAAACUGAGAGGGCUUAUUUGGUAAAGAGGGAUCAAAUAAUUAAGAGUAAGACCAU